UACAGAGGGUGCGAGCGUUAAUCGGAAUUACUGGGCGUAAAGCGUGCGUAGACGGUUAAGUAAGUCAGGUGUGAAAGCCCCGGGCUCAACCUGGGAAUUGCAUUUGAGACUGCUUAGCUAGGGUGGCGGAAGAGGGAAGCGGAAUUUCCGGUGUAGCGGUGAAAUGCGUAGAUAUCGGAAGGAACAUCAGUGGCGAAAGCGGCUUCCUGGUCCAGCACCGACGUUCAGGCACGAAAGCGUGGGGAGCAAACAGG
rnacentral:rRNA from 1 species